UACGAAGGGGGCGAGCGUUGUUCGGAUUUACUGGGCGUAAAGGGCGCGUAGGCGGAUAUUUAAGUCAGGGGUGAAAGCCCGGGGCUCAACCUCGGAAUUGCCUUUGAUACUGGAUAUCUUGAGUUCGGGAGAGGUGAGUGGAAUGCCGAGUGUAGAGGUGAAAUUCGUAGAUAUUCGGCGGAACACCAGUGGCGAAGGCGACUCACUGGCCCGAUACUGACGCUGAGGCGCGAAAGCGUGGGGAGCAAACAGG
rnacentral:rRNA from 1 species